rnacentral:misc_RNA from 1 species
AAAGAAGGGCAGUUAAAAGGCAUAGUUAGAGGAUGCUGAGGUAGAAGGGGGCAUGGAUGCAAAAACACCCAUACCAUUGCAGAGGGUGAGCAUGUGAAACCAUGUGUGGAUGAUUGCAUGAACAACUCCAUGCACUUCCCCCUUCCAAUAUCGCCCUUUAAAAAACCUGUUUCCGUUUGCUUCCCUUUUGAGACUUCUCACUCUGCCCAUACUCACUCCC